GGUCAUUUAGAGGAAGUAAAAGUCGUAACAAGGUCUCCGUUGGUGAACCAGCGGAGGGAUCAUUGCUGGAACGCGCCCCAGGCGCACCCAGAAACCCUUUGUGAACUUAUACCUUACUGUUGCCUCGGCGCAUGCCGGCCCCCAGGGGCCCCUCGGAGACGAGGAGCAGGCACGCCGGCGGCCAAGUUAACUCUUGUUUUUACACUGAAACUCUGAGAAAAAAAAACAAAAUGAAUCAAAACUUUCAACAACGGAUCUCUUGGUUCUGGCAUCGAUGAAGAACGCAGCGAAAUGCGAUAAGUAAUGUGAAUUGCAGAAUUCAGUGAAUCAUCGAAUCUUUGAACGCACAUUGCGCCCUCCGGUAUUCCGGAGGGCAUGCCUGUUCGAGCGUCAUUUCAACCCUCAAGCACUGCUUGGUGUUGGGGCACUGCCUUUUCCGGAAGGCAGGCCCUGAAAUUCAGUGGCGAGCUCGCCAGGACCCCGAGCGCAGUAGUUAAACCCUCGCUUUGGAAGGCCCUGGCGGUGCCCUGCCGUUAAACCCCCAACUCUUGAAAAUUUGACCUCGGAUCAGGUAGGAAUACCCGCUGAACUUAAGCAUAUCAAUAAGCGGAGGA
rnacentral:rRNA from 2 species